rnacentral:rRNA from 1 species
GAUGAACGCUGGCGGCGUGCUUAACACAUGCAAGUCGAACGGAAAGGCCCAAGCUUGCUUGGGUACUCGAGUGGCGAACGGGUGAGUAACACGUGGGUGAUCUGCCCUGCACUUCGGGAUAAGCCUGGGAAACUGGGUCUAAUACCGGAUAGGACCACUUCUUGGAUGUUGUGGUGGGAAGUUUUUUCGGUGUGGGAUGAGCUCGCGGCCUAUCAGCUUGUUGGUGGGGUAAUGGCCUACCAAGGCGUCGACGGGUAGCCGGCCUGAGAGGGUGUACGGCCACAUUGGGACUGAGAUACGGCCCAGACUCCUACGGGAGGCAGCAGUGGGGAAUAUUGCACAAUGGGCGCAAGCCUGAUGCAGCGACGCCGCGGGGGGGAGGACGGCCUUCGGGUUGUAAACUCCUUUCGCUAGGGACGAAGCGUUUUGUGACGGUACCUGGAGAAGAAGCACCGGCUAACUACGUG